rnacentral:rRNA from 1 species
UAUGGUAAUUGUGUGCAGCCGCGGUAAUACGUAGGGGGCAAGCGUUAUCCGGAUUUACUGGGUGUAAAGGGAGCGUAGACGGAUGGACAAGUCUGAUGUGAAAGGCUGGGGCUCAACCCCGGGACUGCAUUGGAAACUGCCCGUCUUGAGUGCCGGAGAGGUAAGCGGAAUUCCUAGUGUAGCGGUGAAAUGCGUAGAUAUUAGGAGGAACACCAGUGGCGAAGGCGGCUUACUGGACGGUAACUGACGUUGAGGCUCGAAAGCGUGGGGAGCAAACAGG